AGCCCAUGAAGAGGACAUUUUCUUAACAACUCUUUAAACCGCUCUCAUGCUUCAUAUAAAUUCUCCACGCCUGCCUGCAUGAAAUUGGUUAUAUCAUUCCUUAUUUU